GGCCCGGUAGCGGAUGUUUCGUGCCUGCGUUCCAUACAGUGAAAAUUGUUGAUCUGCAGGAGUCGCUCGUUCGAAUCGAGCCCGGGCCU